rnacentral:rRNA from 1 species
CGGUCNUCCUUGAGAAGAGCGGUCCUGGCAUUCAGUUGUCGGGGUCGGGAUACUCGACGUUUACUGUGAAAAAAUCAGAGUGUUCAACGCAGGCUUACGCCUUGAAUACAUUAGCAUGGAAUAAUGAGAUAGGACCUUGGCGGUCUAUUUUGUUGGUUUGCACGCCGAGGUAAUGAUUAAAAGGGACGGUUGGGGUUCUUCGUAUUCAAUUGUCAGAGGUGAAAUUCUUGGAUUUAUGGAAGACGAACUGCUGCNAAAGCGUCGAACAAGGACGUUCUCAUUAAUCAAGAACGAAAGUUAGGGGGAUCGAAGAUGAUUAGAUACCAUCGCNAGUCUUAACCAUAAACUAUGCCGGAUUCAGGAUUGGCGGUCGUUUGUUCUCNACUCCCUCNGCGCCCNUAUGAGAAAACAAAAAUCUUUGGGUUCCCGGGGGGAGU